rnacentral:rRNA from 1 species
CAGUAGCCACGGGAAUACGUAGGUGGCAAGCGUUGUCCGGAAUUAUUGGGCGUAAAGGGCUCGCAGGCGGUUUCUUAAGUCUGGUGUGAAAGCCCCCGGCUCGACCGGGGAGGGUCAUUGGAAACUGGGAAACUUGAGUGCAGAAGAGGAGAGUGGAAUUCCACGUGUAGCGGUGAAAUGCGUAGAGAUGUGGAGGAACACCAGUGGCGAAGGCGACUCUCUGGUCUGUAACUGACGCUGAGGAGCGAAAGCGUGGAGAGCGAACAGGAUUAGAUACCCCGGUAGUCCCUGUCACUUAUAC